UAUAUAAAAAUGGGAUCCUGGUAUAUGCAUAUUUUAUGAGAUGGUUUUGAAAAUUUUAACAGUAUGGUAACAUCUUUUCCUCUUAAUAAAUACAGGAUUCCGUAAUUUUUUUUUUUUUUCCUUUGGCCGCACCCAAGGCAUGUGGAAGUUCCCAGGCAGGGAUCGAACCCAUGCCACAGCAGUGACCCAAGGAACAACGCCAAAUCCUUAACCUGCUGUACCAUAAGGGAACUCCCCCAUGAUCAUCUUUAAUGACUGAAUUCCUGGACUAUUACAUUACUGAAUCAGAAGUGCAUGUUUAAAUCCUGACUCCAUCUGGAAAUUAUUUUGGUAUGCAGUAUGAGCAACUACUCUGUGACCAUCGAUGAUGCUCCAGGCGCUGAAACUUUAUCAAAUCACCAUCACCAGCACAUCUCAGUCUGAUGGUCCUGUCCUGAUGGCUGCUGCUCAUGAUGGGGAAUUAGAAGCAGGAAUCUCCAAGGAUGGGAAGACACCCCCCCCUCCACCUUUUUGUUUGUUUGUUUUGGCUGCACCCAGGUCGUA